rnacentral:misc_RNA from 1 species
AUUUUUAUAAUUUAAUUCGGUUCGUUCGGCUCGAACCGAAUGCUCACCCCUACACAUAGCCAGGGCUUUAAGCAUGCUUGUUAAUUUCAUAUUGUAUUGGUCCCUACUAGCUGGUAAUGAUAUAGCUGUUUCAAAUAUGACCAGUAUGUCCUUCCACAAUUUCAUUUCACAUUUGGUACUGGCUAAUCAUCAGAAUGUUUCUACCGAUUCAUCUCAUUCUGGUCAUUUGCCUAAGAAUUUUGUUUCAUUUGAUACACUACAAUUAUUAGAAAAUCUAACUUACACACUCUACUAGGGGCAAGCUUCACCUCAGAAGAAGGAAGAGUCCAAAGUUGAGUACAGAUGGUUUGU